AACGAACGCUGGCGGCAUGCCUAACACAUGCAAGUCGAACGAGACCUUCGGGUCUAGUGGCGCACGGGUGCGUAACGCGUGGGAACCUGCCCUUAGGUUCGGAAUAACUCCCCGAAAGGGGUGCUAAUACCGGAUAAUGUCUUCGGACCAAAGAUUUAUCGCCUUUGGAUGGGCCCGCGUUGGAUUAGCUAGUUGGUAGGGUAAAAGCCUACCAAGGCGACGAUCCAUAGCUGGUCUGAGAGGAGGAUCAGCCACACUGGGACUGAGACACGGCCCAGACUCCUACGGGAGGCAGCAGUGGGGAAUAUUGGACAAUGGGCGAAAGCCUGAUCCAGCAAUGCCGCGUGAGUGAUGAAGGCCUUAGGGUUGUAAAGCUCUUUUACCCGGGAUGAUAAUGACAGUACCGGGAGAAUAAGCUCCGGCUAACUACGUG
rnacentral:rRNA from 1 species